CUCCGUAAUCAAAAGAAAGGUACACUGCAACACACAACCAAGUCGGUGAUCGAACUCUACGCGCUGGCUUUAGACAUCUUUUGUUUCCACCUCUCCCCAUUUAAUCAAAAGAAAGGUUUAUGUAAUAAGCACAUUGUAUAAGAAUGGAAACGGAAGACUGGUCAGGCGUGUCGAGUGAUUCAGAAUUCAGAGGUAGCUUAUCCUCUUUUAAGCUUGGCUGAUAUACCAGAGCUGCAGCCGAGUCCUUGACAGUGGCAAAGCCAUCAACAAAGGAGCAGAUUGAGGAUCUUGAAAGACAAUGUGAAGGCAUUCCUUUUCUAUUUUGUUAUGUUGAACAUGGGCAUGUAAGAUUCUUUCGUUACAAUAAAAUUGAACUACCUGUUCUUCCUUAACUUGCUAUUUUGAGUGUAACUGAUUAUGAACUUCUGAAGCACCAGCAAUUAA